rfam:Mus musculus chromosome 10, GRC primary reference assembly.
GAACUGGCUCUAUUAACAGUAGUGCUGCAAGAGCCACAUUAUAUAACAUAUAAAUUUGUUU